CGCGGCCUAUCAGCUUGUUGGUGAGGUAAUGGCUCACCAAGGCGACGACGGGUAGCCGGCCUGAGAGGGCGACCGGCCACACUGGGACUGAGACACGGCCCAGACUCCUACGGGAGGCAGCAGUGGGGAAUAUUGCACAAUGGGCGAAAGCCUGAUGCAGCGACGCCGCGUGAGGGAUGACGGCCUUCGGGUUGUAAACCUCUUUCAGCAGGGAAGAAGCGAAAGUGACGGUACCUGCAGAAGAAGCACCGGCUAACUACGUGCCAGCAGCCGCGGUAAUACGUAGGGUGCGAGCGUUGUCCGGAAUUACUGGGCGUAAAGAGCUCGUAGGCGGUUUGUCGCGUCGUCUGUGAAAUCCUACAGCUUAACUGUGGGCGUGCAGGCGAUACGGGCAGACUUGAGUACUACAGGGGAGACUGGAAUUCCUGGUGUAGCGGUGAAAUGCGCAGAUAUCAGGAGGAACACCGGUGGCGAAGGCGGGUCUCUGGGUAGUAACUGACGCUGAGGAGCGAAAGCAUGGGUAGCGAACAGGAUUAGAUACCCUGGUAGUCCAUGCCGUAAACGGUGGGCGCUAGGUGUGGGUUUCCUUCCACGGGAUCCGUGCCGCAGCUAACGCAUUAAGCGCCCCGCCUGGGGAGUACGGA
rnacentral:rRNA from 1 species